rnacentral:rRNA from 1 species
CUUAUAUUCUGUAGCAAGGUUAACCGUAUAGGGGAGCCGUAGGGAAACCGAGUCUUAACCGGGCGUUAAGUUGCAGGGUAUAGACCCGAAACCCGGUGAUCUAGCCAUGGGCAGGUUGAAGGUUGGGUAACACUAACUGGAGGACCGAACCGACUAAUGUUGAAAAAUUAGCGGAUGACCUGUGGCUGGGGGUGAAAGGCCAAUCAAACCGGGAGAUAGCUGGUUCUCCCCGAAAGCUAUUUAGGUAGCGCCUCGUGAAUUCAUCUCCGGGGGUAGAGCACUGUUUCGGCUAGGGGGCCAUCCCGGCUUACCAACCCGAUGCAAACUGCGAAUACCGGAGAAUGUUAUCACGGGAGACACACGGCGGGUGCUAACGUCCGUCGUGAAGAGGGAAACAACCCAGACCGCCAGCUAAGGUCCCAAAGUCAUGGUUAAGUGGGAAACGAUGUGGGAAGGCCCAGACAGCCAGGAUGUUGGCUUAGAAGCAGCCAUCAUUUAAAGAAAGCGUAAUAGCUCACUGGUCGAGUCGGCCUGCGCGGAAGAUGUAACGGGGCUAAACCAUGCACCGAAGGUGCGUCGGAGGCAUGCUGGAGGUAUCAGAAGUGCGAAUGCUGACAUAAGUAACGAUAAAGCGGGUGAAAAGCCCGCUCGCCGGAAGACCAAGGGUUCCUGUCCAACGUUAAUCGGGGCAGGGUGAGUCGACCCCUAAGGCGAGGCCGAAAGGCGUAGUCGAUGGGAAACGGGUUAAUAUUCCCGUACUUGGUGUUACUGCGAAGGGGGGACGGAGAAGGCUAUGUUGGCCGGGCGACGGUUGUCCCGGUUUAAGCGUGUAGGUGUGUGUUCCAGGUAAAUCCGGUUCACUUUAACACUGAGGCGUGACGACGAGGCACUACGGUGCUGAAGCAACAAAUGCCCUGCUUCCAGGAAAAGCCUCUAAGCAUCAGGUAACAUCAAAUCGUACCCCAAACCGACACAGGUGGUCAGGUAGAGAAUACCAAGGCGCUUGAGAGAACUCGGGUGAAGGAACUAGGCAAAAUGGUGCCGUAACUUCGGGAGAAGGCACGCUGACA